GUGAGUAGUUCAGAGUUUGAUCCUGGCUCAGGAUGAACGCUAGCGACAGGCCUAACACAUGCAAGUCGAGGGGCAGCAUGAAAUUAGCUUGCUAAUUUUGAUGGCGACCGGCGCACGGGUGAGUAACACGUAUGCAACCUGCCUGUAAGCGGGGGAUAACCCGGAGAAAUUCGGACUAAUACCGCAUGACAUAUCCGAAGGGCAUCCUUUGGAUAUCAAAGCUUUAUGUGCUGGAAGAUGGCCUCGCGUCUGAUUAGAUAGUUGGUGGGGUAACGGCCUACCAAGUCGACGAUCAGUAGCCGGUCUGAGAGGAUGAACGGCCACAUUGGGACUGAGAUACGGCCCAG
rnacentral:rRNA from 1 species